AUUGAACGCUGGCGGCGUGCUUAACACAUGCAAGUCGAUCGGUAACAGGUGUAGCAAUACAUGCUGACGAGAGGCGGACGGGUGAGUAAUGCUUGGGAAUCUGCCUAUUAGUGGGGGACAACCCGGGGAAACUCGGGCUAAUACCGCAUACGCUCUACGGAGGAAAGCCGGGGACCGCAAGGCCUGGCGCUAAUAGAUGAGCCCAAGUCGGAUUAGCUAGUUGGAGGGUAACGGCCUACCAAGGCGACAAUCCGUAGCUGGUCUGAGAGGACGACCAGCCACACCGGAACUGAGACACGGUCCGGACUCCUAGGGAGGCAGCAGUGGGGAAUAUUGGACAAUGGGGGCAACCCUGAUCCAGCGACGCCGCGUGGGUGAAGAAGGCCUGCGGGUUGUAAAGCCCUUCGGUGGGGAAGAAAAGUCUCGACCUAAUACGUCGGGACCUUGACGUAACCCA
rnacentral:rRNA from 1 species